CCCUAGCCCCGAUAGUAGUGGAAAUCCUUUUGUGUCUCGUUUCUUUAACGAGACACAAAAGAUUGAAACGGAUAGCGGGAUUAGCU
rnacentral:sRNA from 1 species